rnacentral:rRNA from 1 species
AUUGAACGCUGGCGGCAUGCCUUACACAUGCAAGUCGAACGGCAGCACGGGAGCAAUCCUGGUGGCGAGUGGCGAACGGGUGAGUAAAGUAUCGGAACGUGCCCAGUCGGGGGGGAUAACGUAGCGAAAGUUACGCUAAUACCGCAUACGAUCUAUGGAUGAAAGCGGGGGAUCGCAAGACCUCGCGCGAUUGGAGCGGCCGAUAUCAGAUUAGGUAGUUGGUGGGGUAAAGGCUCACCAAGCCGACUAUGUGGAGCUGGUCUGAGAGGACGACCAGCCACACUGGGACUGAGCCACGGCCCGGACUCCUACGGGAGGCAGCAGUGGGGAAUUUUGGACAAUGGGCGAAAGCCUGUUCCAGCCAUGCCGCGUGCAGGAUGAAGGCCUUCGGGUUGUAAACUGCUUUUGUACGGAACGAAAAGGUUUGCCCUAAUAAGCUGAGCUCAUGACGGUACCGUAAGAAUAAGCACCGGCUAACUACGUGCCAGCCGCCGCCGUAA